CAAUCAUGGGUCUGUUUUUAAAUUUCAUUUUCACCCAAUUAUUAAAAACAUUGAACAACAUUUAAUGACUUUCUCAAAGGCUAAUAUGAAAAGAAAGUGAUGUUACAUUUAAUAUGAGUUACGCAUUAACUCUGUCAGUGAUUCUUUUUAUGACCGUAGCUGUGUAUUUUUUCCCGGAAGUUUUCUCCCCUGUUGUCGUGGUGAAUCAUAGUAUCGGAGCUCCAUUGAUGAUGGCUUUAUCACUAAGAUGCUCAAGUCAAAAAUGUCUUAUCUUUUGACUGCUUGUCUCUGAUAUCUCCUAACAGUUUUCCAAGAAAUUUCUGAUAUUUACUUUGAAACCGAUGCUAUAUUGCUGCAUACUCUGUAGUUCUUAUGCAUAGAGCGUGGCUGGCAGUGAAUGCUUGAAAGACAUAGCAACAGUAACCAAGGGAGCGGGGCUUAGCUAAGGAUCAUGUUAUCCAAUGACAUUCCGUUUGGAGCUUCCACCUUGUUCCCCGGCGCUGCGUUGUGAUUGUUUGUCCCUCUUAACCGAAGGACACGGCAGUCAUUACGGUAAGUGGUAGGAGCUUGCUUGUAGCGUAGUCAUUUUGUGAAUGUUGCUCGUGCUUCUGACAUUAUAUGUGGGUUUGUAUGCUAUAUAAACUAUGUGUGUACCUACAUUAUAUCAGUUGGAAUAUAUUGUCACUAGCUCAGCUCAGUAAGAUACCGUAGCAGUUCGUUAGCGUAGCCGUUCGUUAGCAAAGCGGCUAGUUAGCGUAGCGGCUAGGUAGCAUAGGACUUACUUAGCCCCCAGCAUCCUUCGACUCAGCAGGAGAGUGCGGUAUUUUAGGUGUUGCGUCAGCUCACACUGGUUGUUUUUAAACUGUGGAAUAUUCAAUGGCAAUGUUUUGCCAUUAGCUUAGUUUAGUAAGCUAGCGUAACUUAGCGGGUAGUUAGCGUAACGGCUAGUUAGCCGCCAUUGUUCUCUGAGUCGGCCAGAGAGUGAUGUGUUGUAACUUAGGGGAGAGGGGUGUCGAACGGAGCAUUUUUUCAUAUUUCCCUCUCUGCACAGAGAUGCAUUUAUUUAUAGCAACCACAUUUUAUAGUGAACAACAUACAUAUGUCCUCUACAAAUCCCGACCAUGUUUGCAAAGUUUGGAUGAAUGAGUCGCACUCAAUCUAGCAGGAAACGAAGCUCAUCUGCCUGUUUGCCUCCGCAUGCAGGGAUGAACAGAUCCACGUUAUAAUUAACCGCAAAACACGUAAAUAUCUUCAUAUUACUGGCGUGUAACACUCAUUAAUGCUUAAGCUGAGUCCUCUGGGAAAUGAGAAUGUCCAGUUGAAAUAAUCUUCUCAUGUUUACUGUCUGAAAAUGAAUUACAUUUGUCCAAUGCUCUGUGAUACAGCCUACUGUGUUUAUCAAAGUAUGUUCCAAUGCAAUUAAAGCUUCAUGUGUUUGUGGACAUAAUUGAUUUAAUAAUACAAGAAAAGAAAAAAAAAAUCCUGUCUUUUGUUCCAGCUUGUUCUUCUUGUAGGGGCGUCCCAUCUGCGCUCCCUUGCAGAUGGGAUUGUGCUGAUGCCAGAGGAUUGCCACACCUUUGGCGUCAUGUCCACUCCAGGGGCGUGCGCUGACUAGCUCAGGACUGAGGAUGAAAAUGCUAUUCUUCCUCUGAUCUCUAACGCCAGGGCCACACUGCCUGCGAAGCGCAGCGCACCGAAAUUCUCGCGCGCGCCGGAGAACCUCCGUUCACAUCAGACGCGCAUUUCUCCACGCCGUCGACAAGCGAUUCUGCUCCCAGCUGUUAUUUUUCACUGCCUGGCUUGACACAUUCGCUCGCGCAGAAAAUAGACCAGACGCUGAACUGAUCGCUGCAAAUCGUGAGCCUGCCGCGGAGCUUCCCGGCGCGGCGCGGCCAGUGUGGACGACACAGUCGGUUAACAUGGGCGCCGAAAGGAAACUGCCUUCUCUUCUCGGCGCUUCGAGGCUAUUCGCGGCGCUUCCGCGGGCGGUGUGGCCCUGGCGUAAUGCUGUCUGUGUCAUGGCCCCUAGCAACAACCUAACGGCCAGCAAGACACCUAAGCAAGGAGGCAUAGCUUUUGGCCAAUACCUGGCCACUGUCUGCAGCGUCUGGCCGACUGCACAGGUCUUUGCUGGGACCUUGUCCCACACUUGACAGUCCCGGGGGAUAUCCAAGAGUUUUUCCGGCAUGAAUUUCACCGCGUGUCAACAUGUCUUGGUGUGAAAUAUUUUCACCACGCUGACCGCUUCCCCCUGAACAACCGUAAGCUGUAGUGCUGUGAUGGUGUGCACCCCAGUGACGACAUGGGGAUGCCUAUCCUCGUGGAGUCGCUGUUGGCUGCCACCAAACAGCACCUGGAGAUACCAGCACCUAAGCCACAGGUGUCACGCCCGGUGUCUACCAAGCCUCUGCCAAAGGUGGUUCCAUGUGUGAUUGUGGUGGGGGAGGUUGUAGUUCCACGGGCCCCCCCUCCUGAGUGGACGUCUGUGCAGUUGGGCAGGAAGAGGAACCACUCUGAACAUGAGCAUGGCUCUGGUUCAUCACAGAGAUGAGUGGUUCAUCAUGUGAUGGCAGCCAAGAUGACCUGCAGAUGGGGGAGCCAGGACAUGUCACAGUCUGCUCUGCCCCUCUUCUGCUCUGCUGCUCAGCCACACCCCUCAUCAGCUUAACUGCUUCCACCUGCUGCUGUCACCAUCUCCAAUCAAGCCAGUAUAUAUGCAGCUUCACUCCACUCACUCUUUGCCAGAUUGUCUUUGCUCUCAUGCCUGACUCUCCCGCAGUUGUUCCCGGACUGCUUACCUGGUAUCGACUGGACUUACCUCCGACCUUCGUUUCAUGUCUCAGCCCCGGUAAAUCCACCAGCCUUCUGUCCCCGACUACGAGUAUUGUCUGCCUGUUUUCUGUUCCUCGUCUGCCUGUGGCUGGUUGGCACUCAGCCUGUUCCUGCUCAGCCAAAAGACCCACCUUGUCAGCUUCACCUCGCCAGCUCACCUCCUCUGGUGCCGUCAGCCCCAUCGACUCCGUCUCAAGGUCCGGAUCCACACCCAGCCCUCAUCUGAACCACUUUCCAGUAAGACUUCCAUCAGCAGUGAGUUUGUGCUAUUUCCCCUCCACCACACUCGUUGAGCCUGUUGAGAACUUUUGGACAAUUACCUGCUCACGAGUCCCAUGUACUCCUUGCCUGCCCCGUUGGUCUUGUGAUAACUUGCUUGCCUGGCACACGGGAGACUGGGGUUCGAAUCCUGCCAUACUCACCUGCUCUGCUCUGCUGCAUCUUCUGGUUAGCUGUGUUCUUGCUUUAACCUGCUGAAUAAAGACUGUUAAUACAAGAAACCUGGUUCAUCUGUGCUGCAAUUGGGUUCACUCUAUACCCGUUACAAUAGGACGAGUAGGAGCCAAGUUAGAAUCUGGCAUGGGACGUGGUAAGUUGUUGCAGCCUGAGCCAUGCUAGCUAGCUCACCCCUACAGUAUUUCAUUCAUUGUAAAAGUGGGUGGCCUUAAGGAGAAGCUCAUGCUCAAGUCUAAUGCUGUUAUUAAUUUGGAUGUUAAUUUCACUGACACUGUCUCUUUAAGGCUCAUUUAUGCUCCCGUUAUGUAUGAAAAUGUAUACGUCCAUUUCAAACGAUGUUACUGUCACUGCCCACAUACUUCCAUGCGUCCUUUACGUUGGCAUUGAUGUUAACCAAUAUAUCCACCAGGGGGCAGCCCAGAGUCAAAAGUUUAUGACAACAACAAACUCAAAAACAAACAUGGCGACUGUGGAGGAGAUAUUGAUAAUGUACCUCUUGCAUAAAAGACAAAAACAGAGGCAGCGUUGAAGAAGGCGGUGGUCGGUGAGGCCGUUAAAUACAUCGCGACUGGAGGACGGAGAAUUCUUUUCUCUAGUACUGCAGAUGAGAGAAUUUGAAUUGUUAUUUCUUCUUUGUGUCUCACUAGAGCUACGUAUCAGGUAGUGACAGCAACACUGCCCCCACAGUUCCCAGUGGUACUGCUCCGUUUGGCCCGUAUCCGUAAGCUGUAUGGAAACGUGCAGAAAUAUGGACGAAAUGAACGCGGAGCACGGACAGAAGGCUCCAUCCGUAUCCGGAUCCGUAUUUAACAUUGAGCAUAAAUGGGCCUUUACUCUCUCCAGUAGCUUUCUGGUGGAAGGAGUGAGGCAGCAACAAGGGGAGAAGGUGCAGGAAGAUGUAUACAGUUCACACAAGAUAUUUUUUUUUAUUAAGAUGCAUUCAUCUGUGGAUAUGUAAAGCAAUUAAAUUAUGUUUCUCUAAAAUCCUGAAAUCUCAAAUUAUUAAUAUAUGGGCUAUUCUGACCUCCUUCGACCUUAUGCUAUAGUAAUAAGGUGUUGCACAUAUGCAACUGAGCUCUUAUAAACUAAAACCAACUAAAAUCUGCAUGAGGGAUUCAACGAUUACCAGUAAAAUGAUAAACCGCAGUAAAAUUCCCGACACUUAGUAUUACCGUUUCAAAUUUUAAUUAUUAAAACCAUGUUUGAUUACUGCACUUUGAAAAACUCAAGGUGAUACUGCUCAUUGCCUGGGAAAGCAGCAGCAGUAGUCCCUCAGACACAGGCCUCUGAAAACAUAGUGGAAGGCACCGAAGGCAGCCGCACGGACAGUGCUCCGGAGAUUUUUUUCCCCCCUCUAAAAGGACAAAGUCCGUGACCACCACCCACAACUACACAACGAGUGUACCUGGUCACACUACACGACUUUUCUUCCCGUUCUGAAAGUCACUAUGUCACAUUACACGAUUAUGGAGUCAUAAAAUCGUGCCGUGACUUGGCCGACAGACAUGACACACUACACGAUGGUACUCACCAAUUAUCCCCAGUCGUCUUUCCUGUCAUCGGGUUAUUCUUGUCCUGUUUUUAUUACUUUUACUAUUAUUUCAGUCACUGUGUCUGUUCAU